GCUCUGCGGUGGGUAGAGGAGAAUAAACCAGGAAAUACUUUAAUCUCUCUGAUUCAGUUUCAGUUCUCAAGAGCCUGAGAUCCUUCAACUCCAGCCGCCAAGAUACUCUGUUCAAAGUAUUACAAGUCCAGACUCGUUCAACAAGCCUUAAAAGAAAAGAAACCAAAAGGGGACUGAAGGCUCAGAUGUUUCCUGGAGGAAGAGGGACCAGGAUGGGAACAUCAUACUGCAGCACUUUAGGAAGAAUCGUUCUGUUAAACCUGCUGGCACUAGGGAACUCCAAGAAGUUAAGGAGCUGCAGACAAGUGAAAUUCCUCAAGAGGUCCCAAGUCUUAGUACACAUAUUGAAUUGUGAAAGCUUAAAUACAGUCAACCUUCCUCUUUCAAUUAAAGAUGUCAAAUACCUAUUCCACUCCCAUCCAUAGUGGUGGUGAAUGAAAGUGGCCAGUAUUAACUUAGUAGAUGUCCUCACCAUGUUUUCCUGAUGUGCACUACUACAAGCGUUGCUGCCUUAUCGUCAGUCAUUUAAAAUGUAAAUUAUCUUACCAAACAGACUUUUCACAAUUCACUCAGUUCUUCUGAUAAAUUUGGCAUUAUGUUUCACACAGCAGAACUGACUUAAUGAAAUGACACGUUAUAAAAAUUGU